CAGGUAUAUCCCUACACUUCUGUUCUCGUAUUAAAUUUCAAAGCAAACACAGCUAGUAUUAGAAUCCUAUAAGAGGAAAUUUGUGUAUGGGUGAAGUUCCAAGGUUCACUUGACCACGGUUAUCCAACAACAACAUCAAAAAACUGGAGAAAAAGGGGUGUACGGGAGAAGAACAGAAGAAAUCUGAUUAGGUUUUACAGCAUUGUUGAUUCAAAUCUGUCUUAAACCCAGCAGACACAUGCCAUUGUUUUGCGAAAAAUUCCCAGAAAAUAUAGUAGGGAAACUAGAUCCUUCUCAUGACUCCAG
rnacentral:misc_RNA from 1 species